AUUUAUAUAGUUUAAAACAAAACAUUACAUUUUCAUUGUAAAAAUAAAAUUUUAUUUUUAUAAAUA
rnacentral:tRNA from 1 species